GAAGUAAUAUUUGUAGUAGCAGUAGUUGUGUCCACAGUCAUGGCAACUUGCGCCAAAUUUCCGAUACCUCGGUUGCCCACGCCGGCGUACAGUGCAAAACGAAUCAAGAAGAUGAAGACGAUGGAGGAGAAGAGAGAGUUAAAGAAAAGGCUGAACAAGAAGAGAGACCAGACGAGGGUCUACAUCGGGAAGGCUUUUUCUAGAUGGCGGCAGCUGCGGGAGCGUUAUGGGCUGAAGAGCGACGAGGAGGUGGCCAUGUUCCUCCUGGACAGCUAUGAUCAACACUGUCUAACAUCAACCACAUGUAAAAGAGGAUUGACACAUAAACUUCCAGCCCAACCUGCUUCAGGCAUUUAUUGCAGUUUCUCUGUGGUCGGUCCUACAAGCUAGAAGAAGGAAGAAGAGGUUUUUAUAUUUUACCCUGUCACUGCAGUCGAGAUGUUCGGGCAAGUUUAUUAUUUUAAAGUUUUAUUUAUCUAUUUAUUUUGUAGCUGAAAUGAUUCAAACAUACAGGUAAACUUUGAAAUUCAUCUCGUGUGUCCAAGUAUGAUUGCUCUCUGAUAUGUUCCUACAAUAAGAUGACAUCAACCCUUAACGACUGAGUGAAAUUACCAACAUGCAGUUUAAUUUGUGUGACCUGUUCAAACUGAAGAUCUAUAACCUGCACAACAUACAGACCCUCGUACGCCACUUGUGUGUAAAGGCCCAGUUUGAGCUGCUGUGGAAGUCACUCACCCUCUGUGUAAAGUUGAAGUCAAUCUGAAGAGGUAAAAGAUGAAGUGAUGAGGAGUUCAAACUGCUGCAUCUGCUGGCUCUCAUUGUCAUAUUUGUUUUUAAUUGAAUGUUGUCUUGACAACCAGAGUUCCCGGCUGCAGGUUUGCUCCUCCUGUGGGUCAGAAUGUUGAAAAUUAAACAUACAAAUGUUAAAUAUCUGUUACUUUCCAACAUAUCUUAUAAUUCUUUGUUGAAAAAAGAAAGACAAGGAACAGUGUAUAGUAAACAACACCGUUUAAAAAGCUUCUCUGUAAAUGACAGGUGAGGCUUGAAUUGCUGUUAAUUGUUUUGCACUUUGUUUUCUUAUUGUUUAUACUAUGAAAAUAGCUGUUCCAGAUGUUUUGAAUCACAAAAUGAUAUAGAAAAAUGUUAUUAAAAGAA